AAUGCUGACAACCUGCAAUUUGCAGAUUUUAUUGUUAAAAUCCUGAUCUCACGUCACUCUGAGUCCGUUUUGCGUCCAUUUCGCGCCGAAACGAUUCAGACUUGUCCCGACACUCUCCAAACAUGUCGACAAGCCUCAAAUGUAGAAAUCUCACGACUGCAGAACACCAGGGAUACUACAUGAAAUUACCCCAAGUUUUUUUUUUCGGGAUCAUGUAGCCGUCAACAACACGAUGACGCUCAAAAAGAUAAAUUUAGGCUUAAUUUGGUAUUGAGGUUUAUCUAAGGCUAUUAGAUAGAAUGGGGUUGAGAAAAAGUAUAUAGAGAUAUGUUUCUGCGUUCUCCGAUGAAACCGCGAAAAAUACAUCGUAACUAACCAACCGCAAUUUGCGGAUCGCAAUAUUAUAUACAGAAACAAAUAGGGUAUUUUCGCAUCGUCGUUUCUCACGGCAUGUAACGCAAUCUCCCCGCAAUCUCAAACGAAGCCUUAAUCAAAUAUGAAAAAGACUUUACCUACUGAAAAAAAAA
rnacentral:lncRNA from 1 species